GAAACAAGGCGAGCUCAUUGCAAAUUACAUGCUGUUCCAGGGGCAGUGCUGACUUUGACGGGGCCAGCACAAUUGCGGACGUGAAUGAUGGCACCACGGCUAAUCCCCAGAUACCCAGAUUCAGAGAUCCGAAAUCCCCACUGGCGAGAUCCCCGAAUUCGAAACACAUAAAUCCAGGCCAAGUCAAAGUCCAAUAAAAAUGUCGAGCAAAUGCAAAAGAGCGACAAAUGCUUGACGGACCAAAUGUCAGAGUUAAUUUAUCUAAAAGCAUUGCCCGACUUUUCGCUGCUAGACGGCUGCUAAAAGAAGACAGAGAUCGGAUCAUUUUAAUUAAGACAAAAUAUUUGAAAUUCUGCACAAGACAACGAGGUCUCUCUAACAAGAAGCCAACAAUUUGCCGCGCGCAAUUUUUCAAAUUACAUUUCAUUACAGAGAGAGUGAGAGAAAGAGAGGGAGAGGGAUGGCCAUGAUCGAGUGAUAAGUGCAAGAGAAAAGCACCGUUUUGUACCCGUCUCUUGGCCACUUUUCAUUCGGAAAUCGGAAUCCGUCGAGAAAGAGAGCGAAACAGGUUAUAUCCGUGUAUUGGUGGCCCGCAUGGCCAAAAGACCAAGCCUUAGCCAAAAGACGCCCGCAUAGGUUGCCUAUCUGCUUUUUUCCGCCAUCUAAUAUGCUACACAUAAAUUGUUUAACAAAUUUAAUUUUAAAGUUCAGCCCGCAAUGCCCUGUGACAACGGCAACGACAACAGCAACUAUGUCAGUCACUCGGCAACAUGGCCAACUAGCAAGUAGAAACAACAUUCCAGCUGCCUCCCCCCGCGCACCUGCACCGCCGCCCUCUCCUCACCAACCAACAUAACCCCCUUCCUCCCCACUUCACCCCCUGCUCUAGCUGGCAAUCGUCAAGCUCGUAACUAGCUGCAGCUACAAGUUGCCGUUUCUAAUACAAAACUGUCGCUUGUGGCGUGAGAGACUGCAACUCCGGCCACCGAGCUCUCUUGGCCACGAUUCGCGGCAAGCUUUGGCUUUCGAGACAACAACAGCAAAAAGAAAACGUCAAGAAAAAUGAAAAUAAAGGAAAAAUAAAUAAUAAAAAAUACGUCGCAUUGCAUUUUAGUAUUUGCUGAUUGCACUGUUGCAAGAGCUAUGAAAUCAUACAAACAGACACAUAAAUACCCGCACUCACACAGCGCAGGGAGACAUACAAUAAAAGUUGCGGACAAGAAAGGAAAGUCGAUUAGCCGGCGGAAAGUGCCGAAUUG
ensembl:ncRNA lncRNA:CR46028 long non-coding RNA:CR46028